UUCUUAUGAAUUCUAAAAAAGGCAACGCGACGACGGAAGUCACGAGGAUCUAUUCCUCUACCUUUUCGUCUUCUCCGACUGAGUUUUGAUCGAUCUAUUUCUACACAAUCAAAACUCCUCUUUAAUUUGAUCAAUCAAUUUCUUCUUUAUGAUUUCGUUUCAUCUCCCUUUUCUCCCUUCUUUAUAUAUUGAUCUUCUUUCUGUGUACAAAUCAAAACCCUAGAACUGCUAUAACCUCAAUCCAUGGCGAUGAGAUCAAAUGGGAAGUCCCCUGAAUCUCAACAUAUGAAUCUUCCAAAUGAAAUACAAAAUCUCUAGCCAAGUCUCCGGCGGCUCUAUUUUUCAACACCAUCACACCAGGCCUCUCCGACACGGAGUUACGCAUCAGUUUAAUCCACUUCUGGGAGUCAAGAAACAGGGGGCAUCAUGGUUGGCUUGGAACUGCUGCUCUGCAACAAGCAGGUAUGAUCUUUUACUGAUUAACAUAUAACCCUAUACUGUUUUCACAAGUCACGGAAAUUGUUUGUCGGUGAUAUCUGUUCAUCUUCGUGUUUGUAUCAUAAUUCAUAUGGCUUGCAUUUCAUUUAAAAUAAACAAUAAAAAUCAAUUAUUGAUUCUCAAAUCGCUGUGUCUAACAAGGGCUUCAGUUCUGAAGACACUCAAUUGGAAAUGACUUAGCUGGCAGAUUCUUUGAUUGAUAUUUACACAUUCGGCAUCUAAAGCUUUCUUUGUCUCUGAAACACAUUGUACAAGUAAGCUUUUCUUUUUUGGAUUUUAAUCUUUUUUGUUGCUGUGAAUUUUCACCUUAGUUGUUUUUUCUUAGCAGUUACAAGAUCGAUGCUCUACUGAAUGAGAGGGAUGGAAGACUUCUAAUGAUGGUUCUCCUUUGCGGAAAUAGGAACGAGCUUCCCAUGAAUAAAGGAAAACCAUAAGAGAAACUCCAUUCAAAACCCAUUGUGUCAACAGAGAAUAGCAAUUCUAAUUUUUUCAACUCAGUUUUCCAUUUGUCGUGCAAGGAUGAUUAUGUGUUUGUCACAGGCUGUUCUCAAUUCUGAUUGUGCUAUGUACAAUAGAAGUGCUUAUGUCUAGCUGUCUAUUUAUUUCUGACGAACUAUAACUCUUUGGAUGAAUAUGAGACACUAAGGAAGCUGAUAUAGUAGGUAUGUUUUCACGUACUAUCUUAUUAUAUAAUAUAAUACUUAUGCAAUCAUGUGCCAGACAUUGCCUAAACAUAUUUUCUUCACUCAUUUACCUUUCAUAUCUCUUUUCAUUUAGUGUUAGAUAGAGUGCUAAGUAAUCAGCAGGGCUGUAUUACAAUCUAAAUUCAAAGUUCUGUCUCAGAUGGCCACGUUAAUUAUCUCUUAGCACAACUUUUUUUGUCCAUUUUUUAUAUAAAGAGAGAUGAAGACUUCUCCAGAUUUGUGUGCCCCACCAAAUUCAUCAUGUAUCUAAAGAGAAUCGGUGGAUGAGAGAAGAGACAAAGAGCUUGGAGAGGCAGAGCAGGAGAUAGACAUUCUAAACCUCGAGUGUGAGUGAAUACCGUUCCAGAUAAGGAAAUGAAGAGAAGAUAGAUGCCAUAGCAUCGCCGCGUAUGCCAGAAUAUGAAGUGAAUCAGAGGAUGAGAGAAGAGAGAAGAGACAGAGAGCUUGGAGAGGCAGAGCAUGCCAUGGAAACCUUUUGUAAACACAUGUCGCUUUUUCCCUGUUGGCUAACGACUGUAAUUUCAUUCACUCUCUGUCGCUUGAAGCUGCUGAAGGACAAAGGAGAGAGAAACUGAAGAGAGAGAGACAGUUAAGGCUCGUGAUGCUGACGUAGGAAGCAUACCAUCAACAAUGGCGGAUCUAGGCCGCAACAAGAGGAUGGAGAAACAGAGACGCCAAAUACCAUACAUGCGACUAAAUCUUUGAUGUCACAGAGCCAGUGACAAGUGCCAGAAAGAGAAAUGGAAAACUGUGAAUGGUGGGGAUUUGUUGUGGGCAAUGUCAACAUUAGAUUUCGAGAAUUACUUGGAACCCUUAAAGCUGUACCUUGCGAGGUACAGGGAGGUAGGUUACAUUUACUCUUUGGCUUAGAUACUGAGACAUUAGAUAAGAAGAUUGAAAGAUUUAAUUUUACUGGAACAAAAAGAUUGAAAGAUGAAAAACAUUUGGCUUUGGCUUAGAUACUGAGACAUUAGAUAAGACUUUUGUAAAACCAACACUUGGUUCAGCCUUUUAAUGAUUGGUCAAAUGCUGGCAACAGAGGAGGUGAUGGGUUUUUAUCAGAGGAAGAGAUAAGGGCUAGAAGUAAUGAAACUGAUGAGUUUUUUUUUUCUCAAGUUGUGAUUGAGAGAAGAUGGUCAACAACCUAAAAUUUUAAAUUAUUAUAUGUUUAAAAUGCUGGAAAAGUAGAUAAUGUGAAGUAGACUUUGUUGUGUGUUUGUAUUGGAAAAACAGGUGGUUGUUCUUAGCGUGUCUUCACUGUCCAUGUAGAGGCUGUGAAGCAAAGUGAAGAAACAUCUAUCUAGAAUGAAGGUGUGACGUCAUUCAAAAUUAAUUUUCCUUCAAAGGUGUGUGGCUGGAGACAUCAGUCCCUUACAAGUAGUGGGUUGUUUCUCAAAGGUCAAAAAUACCCAGCUCAGAGCGGAACCACCUCCAUCAUCAUUUUUAAGGGUUAUUCCGGAGAACUAAAAACCUUAAAUUUUGAAUAUUUUGUAUUCACUUUAUCUGAUUUGUUAUGAAUCAAAUCAGUGGUAAAAGUUCAGAGUUUCUUACUCCAUUUUCAAAUGUUUAUGUGAAAGAUUCAAACCUUUCAUUUAGUUAAUAUCAUUUCUUUAACUUUAUGCUAUGUAAUUAAGGUGUUGGCCAUUUAGGCCACCCACGUUUGUCUCACUUUAGCUUUUGGCGAUUAGUCAAUCUUUUGAUGUUUUUCCUAUUAAUUGUGAUUGGU